GACGAACGCUGGCGGCGUGCUUAACACAUGCAAGUCGAACGAAGUGGCGAACGGGUGAAUAAUACGUGGGUAACCUGCCCUCCUUUUUGGGAUCAGCCUUGGCAACGGGGACUAAUACAUAAUCAAGGGGGAUGGGCUCGUGGCCUAUCAGCUUGUUGGUGGGGUGGUGGCCUACCAAGGCGGAGACGGGCGGCCGGCCUGAGAGGGCGACCGGGCACAGUGAGACGGCGAUACGGCCCAGAGGAGGACGCGGGGGAGAAGUGGGGGCUAUUGCAGAAAGUGCGAAAGACUGAUGCAGCGAGGCCGCGUGAGGUAUUAGGGCUUUAGGGUUGUAAUCUUCUUGCGCAAUCAAACGGGUAGCUGGAGAAGAAGCGACGGCUAACUACGUGCCAGCAGCCGCGGUAAUAC
rnacentral:rRNA from 1 species